GCCAGUAUGGUGCAGUGGUUUGAAUGUUGGACUACAGCUGUGAAGGUCAGGGUUUGAAUUCCUGCUCAGCCA